CCUACGGGAGGCAGCAGUGGGGAAUAUUGGGCAAUGGGCGCAAGCCUGACCCAGCAACGCCGCGUGAAGGAAGAAGGCUUUCGGGUUGUAAACUUCUUUUUUCAGGGACGAAGAAAGUGACGGUACCUGAGGAAUAAGCCACGUCUAAAGACGUGCCAGCAACCGCGGUAAUACGUAGGUGGCAAGCGUUAGCCGGAUUUACUGGGUGUAAAGGGCGUGUAGGCGGGGAAGCAAGUCAGAUGUGAAAACCACGGGCGCAACCUGUGGCGUGCAUUUGAAACUGUGGUUCUUGAGUACUGGAGAGGCAGACGGAAUUCCUAGUGUAGCGGUGAAAUGCGUAGAUAUUAGGAGGAACACCAGUGGCGAAGGCGGUCUGCUGGACAGCAACUGACGCUGAGGCGCGAAAGCGUGGGGAGCAAACAGGAUUAGAUACCCGGGUAGUC
rnacentral:rRNA from 1 species